CCUGAACAUCCGGGUCUCGGAUAUAUGAAAUGUCCCACGCGACGCGACCAGGAUCGAUACCGACCACCCUCGUUCUGCCGUUCCGUUCGUCUCCAGACUCCAGGAGGCAGGAGGCGCCCAUCGCCCACUCGCCGGUCGCCGGUCACUCCAAGCUUCCAACUCCAAGUCCAGUCUCCACUGCUCCGCAGCCGCUCCAGGAAGAAGAAGUGAAAAACCCUCCUUCGUCGACCAUCGGUUCGUCCGCUCGUUGCCCGUUGCCCGUUGCCCGUCGGUUGUUGCAGCGACCUGCGCGGACCGUGGUGAAGCACAGAAGCAGCAUCGCUGCAGUCCAGAAGAUUAUCAGCGACUGGUUUGCCUGUGCGUCUCUCUCUCUCUCUUCGAGUGUUCCUGUUCUUUCUUCGCCAGUUUUUUUCAUUUUAUUUUUCUCCAUUCUAUUUUCCACUUUCACGGAUUGGAGGUUUGCUCUUUGCUGGUUGCUUGGCCUGCCAGUUAAGCCGUUGGUGACUCAAUCCCGGCCAUCCGGCGUCUGGCUCAGCAUCGACAUCAUUUGUCUCUUACUGCUGCCUCUGCAUCACACAGCUUCACCAUGGGUCUCUCUUGCUGUGCAGAUCGCUGAUUGUAUAAACUGAUUCAUUUCUAACCGAUAAUUUAGCUUGUUUGCAAAUGCAGAAUUUGAUAUAUUUUUCAUGUGAAUCCAAACAUGUAGCAACACAUAGAUGACUGAUUGCAUGCUUGUCUGGGCGCCUGUUGUGGUUUUGAAAUUUUGUUUAGAUGUUUGUUGUUUGUUGUUUAUUGUUUAUUUCAUUUAGCUAUGAAAAUGGACCGUUUAAAACUGGAAACAUCCUCUUACCUGUUCUUUUUUUAAUUGGAAAUGGCGUUUUGAAGGCAAAACGAUGUUUUGCCUUCACAACGCCAUUUGCGGCGUGUUUGGGUGCGUUAAAAACAGCGUUUACAUAGUUGAGUGAAAAAUGAGUUUUCAGGAUGGCCACAUCACAUGGUCACUUUGUUAUUUGCUUAUUAUCAAGAAAAAUGACUAUUUGUUUAUUGACGAUGCACAUGAAAUUUUUUCAGCAAGUCAAUAGAUUAUUGCCAUUAAUAAACUUGAUUUUGCACCUUUAUUAGACUAUAUACAGUCUAACGUGCACUGAUUGGCUGCUAAUGUAACCCCUAAAACGUGAUCCUAAUGAGGUAAAUUUUAUCUCCUGUUUGAGACGAAGCUCUUUCUUCUGCCUUUGAUUAUUUGCGUCUUGCAAAGCAUGAUUUUCCACGUAUACCAUUCUUCUUGGGACGAAGGAUAAAGCAAAGAAAAGAUGGGUCAUACUUAUUAGGAAGUAGAAUGGCAUCUCAUAUUCAUCAUCAUUCCGGUCAAGAAUUUAAACUGUUCGAGAUCCGGAUCGGACAGUCUGCCCUGUAAAUAAAGAAGAAAUUUCCUACAUCCAAAUCCAAGACUUAAAUCUUCAGUUUCUCUCUGUAAGAUCGGCUUUAUCAAUGGGAGCUGAGAGUUGAUUAAUCCAUCUCUUUAAACUUUUUGAGAUCGGCGAAGAAGAUCGAGUUGGAGGGUGGUAUUAAGUAGAAUAACAGGACAAGCGAGUGGCUCUUUUUCCUUCUUGUAAACCCUUAAACAAUGGGUUCCUCAUGCUACAGUGCUCCCCACCUCUAAAGUUGAGUCUAGCUUUUCCAAGUCACUUCUUACCCUUUUCCGUUUCGUAUUGUCACCGUGUCUCUUUCGUUGAAGUAACCACUUCUUUGUUGCUCUUCAGACAGAUACUGAAGCUAGUUAUAUGCACAAGCAUGUUCAUCUUUAUAUUGUGCACCUUUACAUUGUAAACAUGUCCAUGUGCAUGACAUGUUAAAAAUAUGAACCUGGUUAUAUGCACCGCCCUGUCCAUGCAUAGGGAUAUGCACCGCCCUGUGCAUGCAAAGGCAGAAGAAAGAGCUGGGGUUAAUCUAGUGUUUAUAGAACGCGUCCUAAUGAGUUGAUGACGUUCUCUUUGGGGAAUGCUCAAAUGUGAAAUAUCCGACUGGGUUUCACCUUGAGAGAGGCAGAAGAAGAGCUCUAGUAAGCUUAAAGAAAUUCCAAAGUGAUGAUUAUUUGGAAUAUAAACAGUGAGUCCCAAAUAAUGAUUUUCUUACCUGUUUCCUGAUCUGAUCGAUAGAAAUGUACAAGUCUUUUUAGAUAUGGUUGUAUCUUACUCCUUUUACUCCUUAUUUGAAGCUAUUGGUGCUCAUUUGGCCCAGAAAAUUAUGGAGAGGGAUUAUGGAGAGGGUGGAGAUAUUUGGCCCAGUCGAAAGUGUCAACUCAGUACCCGCAAAGGAGCUGCUAGACCACAGUCAAUGUGUGGUUGUACUUGCAAUUUUAUAGUGAAUCGCCUGUAUGCACGACCAUCAGUUGCACUUAUUAUAUACAAGCAGCGGUUGCAUGUUAACAAACAUGGGUCUAUCUGCCACAGGCCACUAGAUAGAGAUGCUAUUGGGCCUAAGGCAAAGGCUAUCCCAUACGUAGGUAGUGAAAUUCAGCGACAGACAAUGUCUAUGAUUUAUCUAGGUAUUCCUGAGGAGAAUUUUUUUCAAAAGCACACUGAGGGCAUUGAGCUCUACUGUAGCAGUAAUGUGAAUGACGCCGAACUUGCUUCACAGUAUGUCAGAAAAUUAGAGGUGGUUAUCAGGCGAUCCACUCAUGAACUUGAUCUAGAUGAUGAAUCCAGUAUUCACAUGUGGGUUGACCGUCAGAAGAAAUCUAUAUUCUUUUUCGAUAAUUACUUAAGGCACUGAUUCUUUUGUUUUGGGAAUUCAAACGGAAUGGGAACUGCAGCAAAUGAUUUGAUUUGGUAGGCAGAGCCUUCUAGCAGUUGAUUCCACGUUUGGGUUUAGCAAGCUGAAGUAUCCUCUAUACUUGCUCCUGGUGUUUGAUGCUGGACAACAUGCACUGCCAGUUGCAUGGGUCAUAACACGGAGUUUUGCUAAGCAUGAGGUAUCAAAAUAGUUUUAUAAAUAUAUUAGGAUGUUUGUAUUCUAUUUAAAAUAAUUUUUAGCAAAAAUUAAAGGGUCUGGUUUUUGUCUUUGACUAACUGUCUGGUUUUUAUCUCUUAUAUGUAUGCACUGGUUAAACUUCUUCAAGUUCUCGAAAACACGACUCCUACAGGAAGAAAACUAGUAAAAGAGAGGAACUUAUGUGUCCUAUAAGCAAGUGGCAGGACAGUUAGCAGGGAAGCACUUAUCUAGAAAGCAAUUAGCAACUUAAUGUAACCUAACUACUGUAUUUAUCCAUUCCUAUUUCCCUUGGAAAAGCAGCUUAGCUAGGCAAACUCUUAAUUUGAUAACACCAGCUUACAAGCUUGUAUAAGUUCUUCUUGAAUGUUUCUGUCUGCCUCCUGUACUAGUUCAUGUUUUUGUUAAUCAAAGUGUGACAUGUUUUAGGAAAUUUCUGUUGAAGGAGUUCAAUUCUGAUCA